UACAGCGAUCGACGGCUCCCGUUCCUGUGAAAAUGCAAAAGAUAAGUCGUGGUCGAAAAUAAUCCCUCCUUUUAAGCCUCCAUCCAACGCCUGUGCUCACUUCGUGCCCUAAAUCCCUUUUCCGUUGCAAAAUAAAUUUGGCUUCUCUUCCACUUCUUUUUUUGCUUCCGAUCUGUCAAAAUCGGGAUUUUCUUCCACUUUUGUUCGCACUUCGCACGUUAGAGCCGACUAAUGAAUCUCAUACGUUACACUAAAACAGCUUGGCAUGUCCCAUAAUCUCCUACAUAAACCUCGAGAGACGCUAUCAUCUUCCCAAGUUUCUCUGUUUGUUUCUUCAGAGUACUCUCUCUCAAGACUACUAGGUAAUUACUUGAAUUAAUUUUUCUUUAUAAUUGUAUUUGAUUGGUGUAUUUUCAAAACAACUUAGAGAUGAUGCAUCUGUCUUCGAUCGGUAUAUUGAGAAAAUGAAGUUAUAGGAAACCUCACCCACACCGGCUUUCACACAUCAAGGUUUUCGAUUGGUGUAUGUUCGGCUUCUUCAUCAUCUUCCAUUGGAAUUUCUUAACUUUUUGGAUGUAAUCUUGCAGAUUUUGGUCGGUAUAUUGAGGAAAGAGCUAACAUCCAUCUCAAGUAUCGAUAAUUUUUAUCUGUACUUUAACUGUUCAACAAUUGUUUGAUUCAUCAUUUGUAAUGAUUCCUACCUCUACUGAGAUUACUUUUCAAAAAUUCCUACCUCUUCUAAGUUCUGUAAAUGCUAAUCUGUUAUAAUUUUGGGGAUACUACUUACAUUGUCAUCGAAACAAUGCCGUUAAGGUGUGAAUUUUCUCCUCCAGUAAUCAAAUUCCCAAUCUUGCAUUUCUUUUAUUUAAAAAAACAAUGUGCAGGUAAUUUGUGGCUGACUUUUUAUCAAAGAGGUUUGGAACCAAUCACUCUUUCAAAGGCAUAUAAACUGUUAUGAUUAAAUUUUUAAGUGAUAUGUUUUUUCAUAUUAUAUUUUCAGCAACCGUUUUUCUCACUAAAUUUGGUUUGGUGUUCUAAGUUUCUCAUACAAUAGAAGAAAAAUAGCAAUAUGUGUUGACGAUUGAUUAAUCAAUUAAGAUGAUAUGAUGGUCUUGGAUGAGAAGUCUCUGAGUUAGAUGAGAAACGCUUGGAAAUGGUUCCAACCUCUUGGUCUGUUGGGUUCAGUGGCGGCAUUGGAAUCUGAAUCUGUGUAACACUAUAAAUGCCAGAAAUGUUGGCAGAGGAAUAUAUAUGAUAAAAUUAAAAUUAAAAUUGGUGAAUAUUACAUAAUAUUUUGUGUAUUUUUUGGUUGUCUUCUCUGCUUUAAGAGUUGAGACGAUCCUUCUUUUGAACAAAUUGGUUACUUUGAAUUUUACUUUUCAAAUACGAUGUAUUGUUGCCGAUACUCUUUGGUGUGUUAUAUCUGUAGUGACUCUUUUUUAUUUUAUUGUGAUCGUUAGCAGCGCCGGAGGAGUCGGCAGAGGACCUGGAGGCGGCGGUAGAGAAAAUUAACCAUGUAUUGGUAGGCCUUUUUUGGUCCACUACACCUCUGUAUCUCCAUUUGCAUGCCGUUCAUACAAUAAUCUGUGCAAGGGGGUUAACAAAUGUCAGAACCAAUAUGACAGCUGAGGUUUUAUUGGUCCAUUCCAUUUGUGUGAAUAAAUGAUAUGCCAUUUGCUGGUAACUAUCAACUAUUCUGCUGUAGCAUCCUCUGAGUACUUCUAAUAAUUUGUUGGUAACCUUCAACUAGCUUUUCUUCCAUUUCUUAAUGUUGGGUUGCAGAAUUUGUCAUUAUGCAUUCUUUACUUUAAUAUGCCAAUCUCAGACUCGGUGGAGUUAUAGAAAAUGGUAAGGAAUAGAUCACAGAUAACUUGAUCUUCUUCCUGAUGCUUAAGAAAUAGUAGAUGUCUUGAGCCUAAUGAAGGUUUUGUGAGUUGUUAUACCGACCUCUUACACUGUUAGUGUUGAAUAUUUGAUUGAGUAAAAUACAACUUAGAAUUAUAAUUGGGUGCAGAAAGUAUUGGGUGAGUGGUAGAAAAACAAUUGGAUUUUUUUUUCUUUCUUUUUUCAAUCUUAGAAUUAGAGCUUGACAGGAAUUAUAUGUGAGCUAACUUGAUCUUCUUUUGGAUGCCCACACGAUGCUUAAGAAAUAUGACUCCGUCCUGGCAUUUGAUGGCGUGCCUGUAGUGAAUUAUGGAACAGGGAGAUAUUUGUGUGCUUUAACGUUUACAUAUUAUGAAAUCUCAAUUGGCCAAUUUGAGCUCUGGGCUUUGAGAUAUACCAAUUGACAUAUUGGUUACUUCUUAGUUUUUCAUUUAUUCUUCCGUCAUUCGUUCUUAUAUGAUUUGAAUGAGCGUGAGACUCAAAAAAAUAAUGGAGUUCUAAGCCUAAAAUGUUGUAGUAGCCUUUGAUACUACUGUCAUUAAUAAGGUACAACUAGGUUGAUCCCCUUCCUUUCAUGCAGUAAGAGGACCUAUUUAUUAAGUUUUUUAUGGCAUCCUCUUCAUAUUCUUUAAUUUUUUUCAUGGGUCAGCACUCAGCACCAACUCUUUGCUAUGGCAUGUUAUUCAGGUUAUGUCUAAUAGGAGAUUUAUAUUUUAUGUAUGAAUUUUAUGAUGUGGGAGUUGAUUGUUUUGUUAUCCAUAGAUGUAUGUGUUUGUGCUCAUAAAAUCAUAGGGCAAGUAAUGAGUGUCAAUUAACUGAAAUACUUUUACAGGCAAUCAAUGUGAUGGGUGAAUGCAAAGGGAACUUCGGGAAUUCAGUCAGUAUGAUCGUACAUAUACUGUGAAAUCAUCUUAUUCCUUAAGGUUACUGCUCCAAACAACUAAGGUACUCAAUGGAAUUAUCGUCGAAGCCAUUGCAACUCGAAUUUUGGAUACCAGCGGGUGGCACUAUUUAGGCUGCAACAAAUGCAUACCUAAAGGGGUGGGUGAAGUCGGAGACUGUAGAUGCACCAAAUUUCGAGGAACCUGUGCUGCAGUGUAUUAUUAUGGGAUAUAAUUUCCAGUAAUUUCCAGUAGUUUCACUAAAAAUUCCGCACCCCCAUUGUCCAUGGCAUACACUCUGAUUAAGCGGAUGCAGGUUCCUUCUUCACUUUGAGGUGACAGACCAUACCGGCUUCACCAUAUUAUCUGCACUGGACAAUUUAAGUCCAGCAGAUUGUCCGCGCCACUUUGUCCGACAUUGUCAUAAUGGGAGAGUUUCCCAGUGAUUCGUUUCUCUUUACUUUAUUAGGCAUCCAUAAGUGAGACAAACAAAUUUGCCUGUGUACAUAUUUAAGUUCCAAAGUGAAGAAUUUUUGGUUUAUGUAAAUCCAGUUUCAUGUUUAAAUGGCACCAGGAGAAGGGAAAGUAUAAUGUGGUUGCAGUUUUUGAAGAGAUCCUGAAUGUUAAAAUGGACCACCAUAUAACGUUUACCGCAUAUGACAACCACAUUAUGUUUUCGUAGUCCCGUUAUUUUUUUA